AGUCCUAGUCCCAGAAGCUCAGGAGCAGAGGGACAGCCACCUGCCAGGGGAGUGCCGAAUUGGACACACAGAGACCGGAAAGGGCCUGGGGGAGGGACGUGGCACAAGGUGGGGGACAGUGUCAGGGGUGGGGCAGGGCCAGCAGGCGGCACUGCCAGCCCACAGGGUCCUUCUAGCAGAGGCACCACCUGCCCAUCCUUGGGCCCACAAGAGCCCAGGUGCCUUCCUGCGGGCUGGCUCUCGCCUGUGCCUCCCUGAGGCCCCCUGUGCAGUGGAGUAUGUGCUGCUGGAGGAGCCCGUGCUCCUUAAGGUUGUCCGUGUGCUUCCCUCGGGAGGAGGCCCGGGUGGGGGGCUCCCUGUCUGCCAGGACGCACGGC
rnacentral:lncRNA from 1 species